rnacentral:rRNA from 1 species
AUAGUCUUUUAAUUGUAGACUUGUGAAUGGUUCAAUGAGGUGUGAUUAAGGUGAUGGUCUAUUAUCUGAAUUUAGUUUAGUGGUUAGGAAUCCAUUGUUACAUUAUUAGACGGAAAGACCCCAAGAGCUUUUUUAUGUUAGAUUUGUUUGGGGUAAAUGUAGAUUAUUCAUUUAUUUUUAGAUCCUUCACGGAUAAAGGAUAAAGUUACCUUGGGGAUAACUGAGUAAAGGGCAGGGAGAGGUCCUAUUGAUCUGUUUAUUACUACCUCGAUGUUGGCUUGUUGAACCUUUUCGGUGUAGAGGCUGGAAAAGGAAGUCUGUUCGACUUUUAAAUCUUCAUGAGUUGAGUUAAGACCGGUGUAAGCCAGGUUGGUUCUUAUCUAUAAUUGGUUCUAAUUAGUACGAAAGGAUUAUUAGGAUACAGUGUUUCUGUACACAUAGGAAUAGAAAGUAUACAU